rnacentral:rRNA from 1 species
UACCGGCAGCUCGAGUGAUGACCGAUUUUAUUGGGCCUAAAGCGUCCGUAGCUGGCCGCGCAAGUCCGUCGGGAAAUCCACCCGCUUAACGGGUGGGCGUCCGGCGGAAACUGUGCGGCUUGGGACAGGAAGGCUCGAGGGGUACGUUCGGGGUAGGAGUGAAAUCCCGUAAUCCUGAACGGACCGCCGAUGGCGAAAGCACCUCGAGAGGACUGAUCCGACAGUGAGGGACGAAAGCUGGGGUCUCGAACCGG